rnacentral:tRNA from 1 species
CCUCCUAUAGUUCAACGGAUAGAACGAGGGACUUCUAAUCCCUAGAUCUUGGUUCGAUUCCAAGUGGGAGGA